UACGGUGAGGCAGCAGUGAGGAAUAUUGGUCAAUGGUCGAGAGACUGAACCAGCCAAGUAGCGUGCAGGAUGACGGCCCUAUGGGUUGUAAACUGCUUUUAUGCGGGGAUAAAGUGCGGCACGUGUGCCGUUUUGUAGGUACCGCAUGAAUAAGGACCGGCUAAUUCCGUGCCAGCAGCCGCGGUAAU
rnacentral:rRNA from 1 species